CGAGCACCGGUUUUCAACCACGUAUCAAAAACCCGGGUUUAACUUCACUUUUCUCCCCCAUCUAGGGUUUUUGCGUUCUCCAUCUGCUCACACACAAUCUCAAUUCUCUGCGACCGUGGUAAGGAUUUCAUCUCUAUAUCUCUAAAAAUGUUGGAUUUCAUGUAAUCGCUUUGAUUCAAGGGUUUCUUGCCAAUCGAUCUAUUUCAUACUCCUACACAUAAAUGUCUUCUACAUCAAGAAGAAACGGAGUUUGAUUGAGUUGUCCGUGGUUGAGGCCUGAGGUAACCCUGUGUAAACUUUUUUUUAUUCCGCCUUUUUAUUUUACAUGUCUGCGUCUUUGUGGGAUAUUGGGGAAAAGGGUUGCUAACUUGCUAAGAAGUGAGGUGAGGGUUAAUCUCAAGAUGGGUGAGAUUGUGAGCUUCAUGAUUGAAGGUCGUUUGUAGUCUUGAAUCCAGUUUGUGUAAUGGCUUCUGGAUCUAUACUUAGUCAUAAUUAAUUAUUUUAAAUUAUUUAUUGUAACUUAAUUUGUUAGUCAUUAUCUCUAUUGUAACUUAAUCAGAUUCUAAUCUAUUCUACCGUUUUUCUCUUUUUGUAUUCGACUGGAACAUUGUUCUUUACGUGCUAACAAUCAUUGUCCUUUUAUUCAGAAUUUUAGCUGUAGACCUUCAUGAAAACAUCAGGAAAUAAUGCGGGAUGCGGGAGUUGAGUGAAGGUAACUAUUACCAAAAGUGAUGUUUAAUCUCCUUCACUUAUGUUUGGCAUCGGUUAAAAUCAUGUUAAUAUUAUAUUCAUUAUUGAUGCUCCACUAUUUUAAAUGGCUUUUUGUGACUAAAGAUGACAUAAAAGGUCCAUGUGGGGUAAUCUAUGUUUUAUAACACCUGAUUAAUAGUUUUCAUGGUUACGUGGAUGUUCAAAAGAUCCAAAGCAUUAACCGGUCCAACUUUCUUAAUUGAAGAUCCCAACAAAGGUGGUAUGAAAAAGCUGAGGACAUGUGGAGCUUGAACAAGUGGGGCUCCUAAGAAAGUUGCAACAAUUGAAGCACCUUCAUUCUGUUUAGAAAAGCUAAACAAGAUGACAUAUACCUUUGGUUUAUAAUCUUCAAUAGGAGAAGGCACUUAUUGUCAGGUUUUUCAUGGAAGGCACUUUGGUCAUUAAGAUGCUGGAUACGAGCUCCAUAUUAGAUUCUGAAUCGGAUUUUAGAGACAAGUUGGAGAAAAAGUAACAAAAGUUGUAAGCAAGAGAGAAAGCUGAUAAAGAAAAGGCUAAUGAAAUGACUGGUCUUUAGUUAUGUAAUAAUGUCUGGUUAAGUAAUCUGCAGUUUUGUUUUGUGUUUUAACAAAUCUGCACGAUUAGGGGAAUGAGGUGGAGGAAAAAAAAGAAGGUGAAAGGUACUUAGCAAAGAUAUGGACACCUGAGGGUUCAAAAGACGUUGCAGUUGGAUAACCCAUUGCAAUAACAGUUGAGGAUCCAGCUGAAGUUGAGGUGGUAUAGACACAUGUUGGUGGCAAUUUAGUAGCUAAGGAGGCAAACCCAGCUCCACAUGCUACCCAUGAUAAAGAAGUUAAAGGACAAAAGUUCAACUUUUCUAGAAUAAGUCCACCUGGAAGUUACUAAUUGCACAACAGAAAUUAGAUGCUUCAUCAGUAAUGAAGGACUCAACAUACAUGAACAUCUUGAGUCUUGGGGAAAAAAUUUGAAGGCUCACCUUGCUAAUAGCACUCUACAAAUGCUAAUGCUGGUGGUAAGGCUAAGCAUGUGUUGGGAUUCGGCUUGGAAAAGAUUGCCAGAUGUAGUUGAGGGGAAAGAUGAAGUCGCAGCGUUAAUGGAUGCCCUCAAAACUCAAAACGAUAAAUUUUUUAAAGGCUUAACACGUUCAGCACCUCAACUGGUGGAAAGCAUCAAGGAAAUUACAUACUGCUGGGUACACAAGUGGUCUAAGCUAAGCGAGAUGUCGUACCAAAACUGGAGCAGCUUCGAGGGGUUAAAUUUCAGGAGAUAAAGGCCUUUUAUUUUGGUCUUUGUAAUGUCCGGGUGAACACUCUUUGUUGUUUGGUUAUGUUGUUCCUGUUGUCUUAGCUCCUUGCUUAGGGCUGUUUGUUUUUAGGUUGUGUUGGUUUUAAUAAAGUCCCAUUUGGCAGUUAAAAAAAAGUAGUUCGCAACUCUUCUCUAUAUAUAUAAACCGUAACUAAAGGAUAUUCCAAGAAGGUAA